ACCUUUUCUUUCAUUCUUUCCCUACGUUUCUCUCUCUACAAAUCAGAGGUUUCUCCCCUCCUCUCUAACUCACUCUUCAUACCUCAUUCUCCUUUCACUCAAUCUUCAUCAAAGUUUAAUCCAAACUUACCAAAGUCAUCAUGUAAUUUUAAUUUAUUAAUCCUCAACUCUUUUAAGCCAUAAAACAAGCUUCAUUUUCCCCUUUGUGGCCCAAAUCGAGCCACACCACAUUUGAGUCAUGAUGUUAAGCUGCAAAACAACAUGGAUGUUUGGAUUGAAACUGAAUAUGGUUUAAUUUGGUAAAACAGAAACAAGAAGAGAAGGAGAAUUAAGGCUAGGGUUUGGGUGUUGAUUGAAAUGAUUAUGCUAGCUGAGUUCUUAAGAAGAUAUGCUGAAGCUGAAAUUUGAAGCAAUAGAAGAAAGAGUUUGUGUAGAAGUUGUGGUUUGGCAAGAAUAUGCAUAUACUGUUCUGAUGGAAUUUUUGCUUGGGUAAUUUUACAAGUGUGAAUUAGGGAUUAGAAUCAUUUGGAGGACAAAUUGUGGAGAUAAUUGCAGACAAGUUGAAAUUGCGGUACACUAUGGGAAGUGAGACCACAAUUCCUGCUCUAUCAGAUGGUGUACAGAAAAUUAGAGCAUUACUUGGGAAUUGACAAAGAGUGUCGAAUUCGUGCCAUUAUAUCUCUGACUUUCCACCUUUCUAAUGAGCACCUCUUUCUUAGUUUACGGAUUACUCAGCGUUGAUGUCUUCAUUUAUGUGCCAAAUGGGAUAGGAACCCUUUUGGGAAUGACCCAGUUGAUAUUAUACUUCUAUUAUGAGAGUAAAUCUAGAAGAUUAGACGCCGAAGAACCGCUGAUAGUGUCAUAUGCUGAUAUGCAUGAUCACUUCUGCUGAAAAGAUGAAGAAACCUGUCGCAAAAGCUCCCGCUCCUUCAAAGAAGACACCAGCUAAAAAUGGGAAUGUGAAGAAAGCCCAGCCAGAGACCACUUCAGAGGAAUCUGACUCUGAUGACAGCUCCUCUUCCGGCGAGGAAGAAGUGAAAGUGAGUGCAGCAAAUUUAAAGAGCCAUCUUGAAGUUUAUUGCAUGAUAUUCUGUUGAUUCGUAUCUAAACAUUAAAUACACAUCUUGAAGUUUAUACAUAACAAUCAGAAUAUCGCUUUCUUCUUCAUCAAAGGUGAGCUUUUUAUCUUUUGAUAAACCUAAUACCAUCCAUGUUUUAGAUUGAAUGUGUUUUUUGUGUUCUUUGUUUUGUUUUUGUUUUCGAUAUUGCAUUGCAUGCCGAAGGCUUGGUUUUUGCUGAAUUUUUUUUAAUUUGAUUGGUGUUAGUUUGUGUUAAUUAUUUUUAGUUUCUAAUGAGUGAGGAGGUAAUCCAGUUUUGGAAGUUUUGAUACUAUCAAAAAAAUUGGAUUGAAGCUAUGUGUUUGUAUAUGUGCUGUUUGGAAUGUGUUAAAUUAAUUCUUUUCCUCUUUCUUUUCCACUUCACCAACACUCACCAAUUCUGCAUGACAGAAUUUCUUUCUUAGCAGAAAUGUGAGUCUAACUGAGUCUAUUUGUUCUCCUGUUAUCUCUAUUUGAUCCUUGCUAUCUCCUUUUAUAGCUGCACUUUCCACUCCUGAAUAUUUUUGCACAUGAUUAGUUUGGACUUUAAUAAUUAAGCUAUGGUUUUGAACUAAUUUUGAAUUGAAAAUAAUUAAUGGUGACAAAAUCAGUGAAUUUUAUUACCUGAAACUCCAACUCAUGGCUUUGGACCUUGAUUUUUGGCUGUUCAUUGACACCUUGAUCACUAUCUUUUGCUGCAAACAUUUCACAAUCAAAGAUAUAUAAUUAACUUAUGUUUUGAAAGUCAUCACCAACUCUCUAGCUCAUCAAGUCAUAGAAACUAACAUAUCAUGUGAACUAAUAAAGAAGAUUAAUAUACUAAUCUUUUCUUCGAAAGUUUUGGUGGACUUUGUUAAAUUUUUCAAAUAUUCUUCAUUUAUUAUAAUGAUACAAAUAAAAACAAAAAUAUCAAUCAUAAGCAUUCUUCUCCCUCUUUCCCUACAUUUUCCCUCUCAAUUUCCAAGUAAGGGAUAUAUAUUGAAAGUACGUUAAUUGAAUUUAUAUUAUAUAUGUAACAAAUGUACUAACUAUAUAUUUUGAAUAAAGGAGGUAACACUACUUAGCAGGAGUUAAAUUAUUCAUUACCUUAGCCGUAAUACUUAUGAGAUAUAAAUAAACGGAUUAGAAGAAGCUUUGUUUCCGGAAUGGUGUAUUGUUAAAGUUGUAGGAAAAUGCUCGAGCAAUUACUCAUGCAUUUUACUUUAUUUAUAGGCAUUAGUUCUUUGUGGAAUAAAUUAAAUGCGUGGUAGACAAGUGUGAUUUCUUCCACUCUUUUUUUUUCUGAAGGAGCUUCUUCCACUUGUAUUUUGUAUGAAAAUAUAUGCACAAGAAGUAAAUGUUUUCUUUUAAGUCAAUGGUUGCAGUUAGUUCGAUUAGUUGCAGGAAAUUGCUGAGCCUUAUGUGUUGAGGUGUGUUGAUGAAGAAAAAAAUCAAAAACAUACAUGCCAGUGGAUAAGAUUGAUCAUGCUCUUGAGACGAUUAAGAGUAAUGAGAUUCAGAAUGUGCUUGCGCUCAGAGGUGAUCCGCCUCAUGGGCAGGAGAAGUUUGUUCAGACUGGAGGAGGGUUUGCUUGUGCGCGUGAUUUGAUGCAUGGUCGAGAUAUGAAAAGGGAUUUAGUAUAGGAUGCAAAGUCUGUGUCUAAGCCUGCUACUGUUGCAAAAAAAAGUAUGAAAGAUAGCUCAGAUUCUGACGAUGAAGAUGAUGAUACUAGCUCUGAAGAAGAGAAGAAACCUGUGGCUGCUAAGAAAGAGGUUAGUGAAUCGGAGAGUGAUUCGUCUGAUGACGAGGAUAAGAUGAAUGCUGACAAGGAUAGUUCCGACUCUGAUGAGAGUGAGGAUGAACCAUCGAAAAGACCUCAGAAAAAGAUAAUGGUAAGCCUAAUAUCUGCAACAAUUGGUCGGGUUCAAUUUUAGGGCUAGGAGAGUAUAGGUUUCAUAUUUUCAAUCUGCUCAGUCAGUUCCCUUUUAGGCGCAAUACUAUGCCAAUACGCGCUAAAGGAUUACGCAUUCAGAGACUUACUCUUUUGGACUCAGUUGCUCUAUGGUCUAUCAGGGAUGUUUGAUCUAAUUUUAGUCAUGAGAUUGAACCUGAAGUUUGGUAUACUGGAUUACAUCUUUGUUGUGAUUGUCGAAAGCAUAGCGCAAGUGACUAUUAAGCUAAAGUGGAUGGAUGCCUAUGCUUGUACUCAGCUCAAAGCUUUGUCCAUCUGGCAUUGAAGGAACAUUCUUUGCUCUAUUAAUGUCAAUUGAUAAUGCUAGAAUUCUUUCAUCAUAAUGGGGUGUUGGAUUUGUACUUCAUGUACUAAAGAUUACAAGAACAAAGUUUGAGAAUCUUUGGUUAUCGAUUUUAUUCCGAAUAUUUUGAUUCGUAUUUUAAUGACAAUACAAAUCUAACCCUUUUUUGGUAAUCAA